GACGAACGCUGGCGGCGUGCUUAACACAUGCAAGUCGAACGGAAAGGCCCUGCUUUUGUGGGGUGCUCGAGUGGCGAACGGGUGAGUAACACGUGAGUAACCUGCCCUUGACUUUGGGAUAACUUCAGGAAACUGGGGCUAAUACCGGAUAUGAGCUCCUGCUGCAUGGUGGGGGUUGGAAAGUUUCGGCGGUUGGGGAUGGACUCGCGGCUUAUCAGCUUGUUGGUGGGGUAGUGGCUUACCAAGGCUUUGACGGGUAGCCGGCCUGAGAGGGUGACAGGCCAAAUUGGGACUGAGAUACGGACCAGACUCCAACGGGAGGCAGCAGUGGGGAAUAUUGCACAAUGGGCGGAAGCCUGAUGCAGCAACGCCGCGUGCGGGAUGACGGCCUUCGGGUUGUAAACCGCUUUCGCCUGUGACGAAGCGUGAGUGACGGUAAUGGGUAAAGAAGCACCGGCUAACUACGUG
rnacentral:rRNA from 1 species